rnacentral:rRNA from 1 species
UACGGAGGGUGCGAGCGUUGUCCGGAAUCACUGGGCGUAAAGGGCGCGUAGGUGGCGCGAGUAGUCAACGGUGAAAGCCCGGGGCUCAACCCCGGGUCGGCCGUCGAUACUCUCGUGCUUGAGCACUGUAGAGGCAGGUGGAAUUCCGGGUGUAGCGGUGGAAUGCGUAGAGAUCCGGAAGAACACCGGUGGCGAAGGCGGCCUGCUGGGCAGUAGCUGACACUGAGGCGCGACAGCGUGGGGAGCGAACAGG